rnacentral:lncRNA from 10 species
ACCUAGGUAAUACCAUUCUGGACAUAGGAACCAGCAAAGAUUUCAUGAUGAAAAGGGAGAGGAUCAGAAAAAAUAACUAUUGAGAACUAGGCUUAGUACCUGGGUGACAAAGUAAUCUGUACAACAAACCAUUGUGACAUGAGUUUACCUAUAUAACAAGCCUGCAUAUUUACCUCUAAACCUAAAAUAAAAGUUAAAAAAAAUCAUUUGAAAUUCUGCCAUUCAGACACAACCAAUGUUAACAUUUUGGUAUAUAUUCUUCAAGUUAUUUUUUAGCCAUAAAUACAAACUCACAUGCACAUAUUAUUUAUAUUUAAUACACCUAUAUAUAUUUAAACAACAAUUGGGCCAUACAGUUUUUUUCACUUUUUUUCCUUUUUAUUGGUAUGUAAUAGUUGUACAUGUUUUGGAGGCACAUGUGAUAUUUUGAUACCUAUAUACAAUGUGCAAUGAUCAAUCAGGGUAAUUUGGUUAUCUGUCCCCUCGAAUGCUUUUCUUUAUGUUGGGCAUAUUACAAUUCUUCUCUUUUAGCUAUUUUGAAAUAUACAAUAAAUUAUUGUUAAUUAUAAUUUCCCUAUUAUACUAUUGAAUAUUAGAACUUAUACCUUCUAGCUAACUAUUUUUGUACUCUUUAACCAACUUCUCUUGGGCCAUACUAUUUGUGUGCAUUGUUUUUUAAACCUAAUAACAUAUCUUUCUUGUCAGUAAUUACAGAUUUAUGUAAUUAUUUUUGAUGCCUGAGUUGUGCUCUGCUACAUGGCUCUACCACAGUAUAUUUUGUCAGUUUUCUGUUGAUGGAUAUUUGAAGUUAUUUUGAGUUUUUGGUUAUUAUGAAUAAGGUGGUAAUUACUAUCCUCUUGCAUACAUUUUUUCAUUAUUCUCUUUUUUCCCCUGGAAUAAAUUAGUAGAAUGAUUGCAUCAAAUAUUAUGUGUACUCUAAGGCUUUUAAUACACAUUCUCCAAUUGCCCCUGAAAAAGAUAAGAUGGUUCCACUUUACCCCCUGCAAGACUUCUAUUAGCCCUUUAAUUUUCUUUUUAAAGUGUGGUUCUUUAAUUUCUGAUAAUAGAAGAAAGUUUUUUCCUCUUUUUAUAAUUUUGGUCUUCCCUGAAUUUGCAGACAUCCAUUCUUACUAGGUCCUUAUUUUACACAGAGUUGCUAAGUUUUAGUCUAAGAGAUUCUCCUUGGUGAAGUAAAGAGGAUACAUUUUGUGGCAGCUGCUUGUCUCACAGAUUUUCUUUUUCAUUGCUUUCUAAGUCCAUGACUGUGCUUUGAAUGUUUGAGAUUAUUGGAAUUGGUAAGUGACAUCAUUUUAAUAGUAAGUUAUCAAAAAGAUUUUGGAUUAUCCAAAGUUGUUGUCUAUAGGAGUUUGUGCAAUUCUCUUUAUUCUUUUACAUUUUUUACUUGCCAAUUGAUAAAUUGUAGUUGUGUAUAUUUACAUGGUACAGAGUGAUCUUAUGGCUUAUGAAUACAAUGUGCAAUAAUUAAAUCAUGCUAAUGAACAUAUCUGUCACUUCCAAUUCUCUCUCUCUCUCUUUUUUUUUUUUUGAGACGGAGUCUCUCUGUUGCCCAGGCUGGAGUGCAGUGACGUGAUCUCGGCUCAUUCCAACCUCCCGCAACCGGGUUCAAGCGAAUUUCCUGCCUCAGACUCCUGAGUAGCUGGGACUGCAGGCAUGUGCCACCAUGCCCGCCUAAUUGUUUUUUUUUUUUUUUUUUUUUGUAAUUUUAGCAGAGACGAGGUUUCACCGUGUUGGCCAGGCUGGUCUCGAACUCCUGACCUCAAGUGAUUCACCCGCCUCAGCCUCCCAAAGUGCUGGGAUUACAGACAUGAGCCA